GUGCUUUCUUUGGCAGCACAUGUACUAAAUUGGAAUGAUACAGAGAAGAUUAACGUGGCCCCUGUGUAAGGAGGACACACAAAUACAUGAAAUAUUCUGUAUUUUU
ensembl:snRNA U6 U6 spliceosomal RNA